UGGGGAAUUUUGGACAAUGGGCGAAAGCCUGAUCCAGCAAUGCCGCGUGUGUGAAGAAGGCCUUCGGGUUGUAAAGCACUUUUGUCCGGAAAGAAAUCCUCUGGGUUAAUACCUCGGGGGGAUGACGGUACCAGAAGAAUAAGCACCGGCUAACUACGUGCCAGCAGCCGCGGUAAUACGUAGGGUGCAAGCGUUAAUCGGAAUUACUGGGCGUAAAGCGUGCGCAGGCGGUUUUGUAAGACGGAUGUGAAAUCCCCGGGCUUAACCUGGGAACUGCAUUCGUGACUGCAAGGCUAGAGUAUGGCAGAGGGGGGUAGAAUUCCACGUGUAGCAGUGAAAUGCGUAGAGAUGUGGAGGAAUACCGAUGGCGAAGGCAGCCCCCUGGGCCAAUACUGACGCUCAUGCACGAAAGCGUGGGGAGCAAACAGGAUUAGAUACCCCUGGUAGUCCACGCCCUAAACGAUGUCAACUAGUUGUUGGGGAUUCAUUUCCUUAGUAACGUAGCUAACGCGUGAAGUUGACCGCCUGGGGAGUACGGUCGCAAGAUUAAAACUC
rnacentral:rRNA from 1 species